CAGCUAUAGAGAAGCUCUGUUAGCAAAAAUAAGUUGAAAUAUUAAUAAUAUUUUGAAGGGUCAUUACAAUAUCCACUUCCAUCUAUGAAAGUUAAAGAUUACGAUAUACCCAAAGUCUCGAACAUGAUAGAAUUUUUAGUCCAGAAUCAUUUUUGAUCUCCCAAUUAGCCUCCUCUAUUGUGCAGUGCUUCCACUGAACCUUUAUUACAGGAAUCUCCCUAGUGCGCAACCAUCUGAUAUUUCUAAACAAAAUGAGCAUCGGAUCGUCUACGAAGGUCAAACACUCAUCCAACUGUACUAAGUCCCAUUACAUGCUAUGGAUCAGGAAUUUGUCAGCAGCAUAUAGAGACAUGGCAAAUUGGAUGAACUAUAGUAGGAGGUAGAGCCAAUUAAUAAUCUACCUUAAAAACU
rnacentral:lncRNA from 1 species